UUGAACGCUGGCGGCAUGCCUUACACAUGCAAGUCGAACGGUAACGCGGGGCAACCUGGCGACGAGUGGCGAACGGGUGAGUAAUAUAUCGGAACGUGCCCAGUAGUGGGGGAUAGCCCGGCGAAAGCCGGAUUAAUACCGCAUACGACCUACGGGUGAAAGGGGGGGAUCGCAAGACCUCUCGCUAUUGGAGCGGCCGAUAUCAGAUUAGGUAGUUGGUGGGGUAAAAGCCUACCAAGCCGACGAUCUGUAGCUGGUCUGAGAGGACGACCAGCCACACUGGGACUGAGACACGGCCCAGACUCCUACGGGAGGCAGCAGUGGGGAAUUUUGGACAAUGGGCGCAAGCCUGAUCCAGCCAUGCCGCGUGCGGGAAGAAGGCCUUCGGGUUGUAAACCGCUUUUGUCAGGGAAGAAACGGCCUAGAUUAAUACUUUGGGCUAAUGACGGUACCUGAAGAAUAAGCACCGGCUAACUACGU
rnacentral:rRNA from 1 species